CUUCGAGAACAUGAAGGAAGUCACAGCGGAGAGAAAGCCUAUGAAUGUCAGGAAAGUGUGACAGGCUUUACUUCUC